rnacentral:rRNA from 1 species
ACUCCUACGGGAGGCAGCAGUGGGGAAUAUUGCACAAUGGGCGCAAGCCUGAUGCAGCCAUGCCGCGUGUGUGAAGAAGGCCUUCGGGUUGUAAAGCACUUUCAGUCGUGAGGAAGGUAGUGUAGUUAAUAGCUGCAUUAUUUGACGUUAGCGACAGAAGAAGCACCGGCUAACUCCGUGCCAGCAGCCGCGGUAAUACGGAGGGUGCGAGCGUUAAUCGGAAUUACUGGGCGUAAAGCGCAUGCAGGUGGUUUGUUAAGUCAGAUGUGAAAGCCCGGGGCUCAACCUCGGAAUAGCAUUUGAAACUGGCAGACUAGAGUACUGUAGAGGGGGUAGAAUUUCAGGUGUAGCGGUGAAAUGCGUAGAGAUCUGAAGGAUACCGGUGGCGAAGGCGGCCCCUGGACAGAUACUGACACUCAGAUGCGAAAGCGUGGGAGCAAACAGGAUUAGAUACCCCUGGUAGACUGUCA